GACGAACGCUGGCGGCGUGCCUAAUACAUGCAAGUCGAGCGAAUGGAUGGGAGCUUGCUCCCUGAAGUUAGCGGCGGACGGGUGAGUAACACGUGUGCAACCUGCCUGUAAGACCGGGCUAACGUAUGGAAACCGGCGCUAAUACCGGACACAUUCUUUCCUUGCUUGCAGAAACAUGGAGAGUUGGUCUAGACUAUCUCUUACCGCUCGUCACGCGGUGCAUUUGCUAGUCGGUUAGGUAACGGCUCAACAAGGCACCGAUGCAUAGCCGACCUGAGAGGGUGAUCGGCCACACUGGGACUGAGACACGGCCCAGACUCCUACGGGAGGCAGCAGUAGGGAAUCUUCCGCAAUGGACGAAAGUCUGACGGAGCAACGCCGCGUGAGUGAUGAAGGCUUUCGGGUCGUAAAACUCUGUUGUUAGGGAAGAACAAGUACGAGAGUAACUGCUCGUACCUUGGCGGUACUUAACCAGAAAGCCACGGCUAACUACGUGCCAGCCGCCGCAGUAACAC
rnacentral:rRNA from 1 species